rnacentral:rRNA from 1 species
AAGUCUUGACAUAUUUCGGAGGGAAUUAGAGAUAAUUCCUUACGACUUCGGUCGACUGAAAUACAGGUGGUGCAUGGUU